UCUACGGGUCGCAGCAGUGAGGAAUAUUGGUCCAUGGGAGAGAUCCUGAACCAGCCAAGCCGCGUGAGGGAAGACGGCCCUAUGGGUUGUAACACUCUUUUGUCUGAGAACAAAACCCGGGACGUGUCCCGGACUGCGUGUAUCCGAAGAAAAAGCAUCGGCUAACUCCGUGCCAGCCGCCGCGGUAAUACGGAGGAUGCGGGCGUUAUCCGGUUUUAUUGGGUUGAAAGGGUGCGUAGGCGGUCCGUUAAGUCAGCGGUAAAAUUGAGGGGCUCAACCCCGUCGAGCCGUUGAAACUGGCAGACUUGAGUUGGCGAGAAGUACGCGGAAUGCGCGGUGUAGCGGUGAAAUGCAUAGAUAUCGCGCAGAACGCCGAUUGCGAAGGCAGCGUACCGGCGCCAGACUGACGCUGAGGCACGAAAGCGUGGGGAUCGAACAGGAUUAGAUACCCGAGUAGUC
rnacentral:rRNA from 1 species